rnacentral:rRNA from 1 species
UACGAAGGGGGCUAGCGUUGUUCGGAAUUACUGGGCGUAAAGCGCGCGCAGGCGGCUCUUCAAGUCAGGGGUGAAAGCCCAGAGCUCAACUCUGGAACUGCCUUUGAGACUGAAGAGCUUGAGUACGGGAGAGGUGAGUGGAAUUCCCAGUGUAGAGGUGAAAUUCGUAGAUAUUCGGAGGAACACCAGUGGUGAAGGCGGCUGCAGCUGGUCCGGUACUGACGCGUGAGGUGACGAAAGCGUGGGGGAGCAAACAGG